UGUUGUGCCGGUGCCCAGCCUAUAAAACGCGCACAUACCUCGUGACUGGGAACCAGCGACAAAUCGGUAUAGUGCAUGCUGGGCAGCACGAGUUUGUACGGUCUCUUGUGCACGGGACGUUGAGGUGAGUAGAUGUGUUUAUGUGCCUAUGUCCCUAUGUGAGUAUUGUGUGUGAAAUAGUGAGCCUGCGUAUAGUUUAUAUUGUAUUAUAUGGUAUUGUAUUGUAUAUGUGUGUCGGUAACUGUGAGCCUGUAAUUGUGAACCUGUGCGUGUAACCCUGAGUACGUAAGUAGUUCCAGGGGGUUUAGCCUGUGUAUGUAAGCCAGUGUCUAGCUGUGAGCCUGUGUGUAUUGUAUUAUAUUGUAUUUUAUGUGCGUUCAACACGUAUUUACCUGGAAGGCCAUUCCCAGAAGAUAUAAGUGAGUCUGUGACUGUGUAUGUAAGCCGGUGGCUGUGUGUUUAAGUACGUGUUUGCCUGGAAGUGUAUUCCCAGAAGUACAUGUAUAGUGCCAUUUCGUGACGUGGACGAGCCGACAAGUGUACCCGACGAGCCGACGAGUGCACCCGACGAGCCGACGAGUGUACCCGACGAGCCGACGCGUGAAGCCGACAAGUUCCCUCGAAGACGACGAGGACGAUUGGUGCCGUCCAGACGUGGAUUCCAGUCGAUGCCCAUACUGUGGUACUGUUUGAUGUGGUCGCAGUUUAAUAGGGAGAACGAGUGGACCCCGAGAACGAUUACACGCAUUCAAGACAUCGUAAGCCACAGAAUCACCCAAUCGCACGACACUUUCCAGUUUACACGGUGUCAACAAGUCUCUGACUUUAACAUCAGUAUAGACUAAUGCUGCUGGGACGCCGCCGGCAUUCACCGGGGCUCCGCCUGGGCAUAACUGGCGAUGACCGGGGUUAAACCGUUGCUCUGCUGGGGUCUGAUGCCAGUAUAGCCCCUUUGAGUGCCUGUGGAGUUACUGUAUAUCGGGGCUCUGCCGGGACACUGCCGGCUUUCACCGGGGCUCCACCUGGGCAUAAACAGCGACAACCGGGGCUCUGCCGGGGCUUCACCCGGAUAAACCGUAGCUAGUCCGUGGUUGACCGGGACUCUGCCGUGUUGUUGACCGGCUUCAACAAGGGCGGCGCUGGGAAAUAGUGUGACCGCAUAAACAAAUUUGUACGCAUCAUCCCGGUUCUCACCGGUCAACCGGCAUGAGCAAACCGGGAUGGACCGGGGCUGUACCGGAAAUAUUGAUGUACAGAGGGCACUUUGGCAAGCAAGGGGCUUAAGCAUUUUACGCAAGAGAAAU